rnacentral:lncRNA from 1 species
AGCAUUUCACACCUGAGCUGUCCAGGUUGCAAGGGAGAAGCCAUACCAAUACGCUUGAUAUUAGAUUUUCAAAUUCUUGAAACUACAACUCAAAAUUUAUAAAUAGUAGACACUUCAGAAACUGAACAAUAUAUACCUCACAUUUAUGUUUUGAAAUUAUCUGCUUCAAAAUACAUAGACGAAGCUAGCAAGUCCUUAAAUGUGGAAAACUAUUCACUCAAAAUUUACAUUUAAGUAAAUGGUAAUACAAGAGGGAUAAUUAGUUACACCAAGCUGAGAUAUAUUGUGCAUUUGCAAGAACUUCUUCUCUCCUUGAUUCCUUGCGAAAAAUCAUGGCAAAAUGCUUUUGACAAACAUGUGAGCCUCAAAGCCGCUGCCCCAUUUAAAUAUAAAAGGGAUGCAGUCAUCCGAACCCCAUGGGACAAUGCCCUUGAAGCAUUUGAGGCCUCAUUGGAGGCUUUCAAAACGAAGGUAGAUUUGUUUCUCCCGAAGUCCAAUGUGGUGAUGCUCAAGCUAGAGGACGCCAUGUCAGCUUUGAAUUUGAGUUGAACCCUAACCAGUCCCUUUUCAUGCAUGCACUUUAAUCUGUAGUUUACUUUACAUUAUGAUAAAAAUACAAGUCGUCCACGUUGGCAAUCCACGACUCACUAAAGCAGCCAAUCAGGGACAUUUCCCUCGAUUUUUAUUUAUUUAUAUUUUCUCUUAUCCGAUAAUUAAUCAUCGGUACUAUCACCUUGCUUAUUUUCUAUUAUACUAUAGCCCCCCGCCCCCCAAACUCUUCCACCUUAUAUAUAAAUCAAAUACCCAAUCUUCUCUUUUAACUUUCUGCAAAUCCCACCCACCCCACCCCAUUGCACCCACACAUCACCGUCGUAUAACCCACCUCUCUCCCUCUCCCAAUCAUUUUCUUCAUCACAGCACAGUUAGCACCCAAAAAAUUUUUGAUGAGCUAAUCUAAUAGAAGACCUACUAAUUUCACUAGAAAAUAGACAAAAUGAAGACCCAUAUGUGUCUAACUAAUGAGAAGAUCCAGUAAUUUCACCGAAGAAGAAAAAAAUAGAAAUUUAAACAUUCAAACGCAUUAAACGUUACAACACAUUAAACAUGAGAUAUAUGAAGUUAUGAAGCCAUUAAAGUCAAAAGCCAUGAGAGAUAUGAACCCAAAUCAGAAACGCGAACAAGAAAACCAUCAAAUCUACAGAGUGAGAGUGAGAGUGAGAGAGAGAGAGAGAGAGAGAGAGAGAGAGAGAGAGAGGUUACACUGGGGAGACGAAGAGGCCAAAGGUUAUGACAUUGUCUGCCAAAGGUGAUGAAGAUGGAGAUAAAUGAUGCAAUGAGAUGAGAGUAGUGAGUGUUGUGUGCGGCUAGGGUUAGGAAACGAAGGAGAGGCUGAGAGAAAUGUGAGGGAGAGGUGGAGAGAGACUAGAUUCGUGAGUUUUAGUUAUGGAUGAGUUUUUCAGGCUUUUGGAGUCCAAUCAUGUGCGGAAUGGUGCAUGAUAACACUUACAAAUAACCACUCAAGCCUUGCCACAUG